UACGUAGGAUGCAAGCGUUGUCCGGAAUUAUUGGGCGUAAAGAGCUCGUAGGCGGCUUGUCGCGUCGGCUGUGAAAACCUGAGGCUCAACCUCGGGCCUGCAGCCGAUACGGGCAAGCUAGAAUUCGGUAGGGGAGACUGGAAUUCCUGGUGUAGCGGUGAAAUGCGCAGAUAUCAGGAGGAACACCGGUGGCGAAGGCGGGUCUCUGGGCCGAUAUUGACGCUGAGGAGCGAAAGCGUGGGGAGCGAACAGG
rnacentral:rRNA from 1 species